GAUGAACGCUGGCGGCGUGCCUAAUACAUGCAAGUCGAGCGAACGGACGAGAAGCUUGCUUCUCUGAUGUUAGCGGCGGACGGGUGAGUAACACGUGGAUAACCUACCUAUAAGACUGGGAUAACUUCGGGAAACCGGAGCUAAUACCGGAUAAUAUUUUGAACCGCAUGGUUCAAAGGUGAAAGACGGUCUUGCUGUCACUUAUAGAUGGAUCCGCGCUGCAUUAGCUAGUUGGUAAGGUAACGGCUUACCAAGGCAACGAUGCAUAGCCGACCUGAGAGGGUGGUCGGCCACACUGGAACUGAGACACGGUCCAGACUCCUACGGGAGGCAGCAGUAGGGAAUCUUCCGCAAUGGGCGAAAGCCUGACGGAGCAACGCCGCGUGAGUGAUGAAGGUCUUCGGAUCGUAAAACUCUGUUAUUAGGGAAGAACAUAUGUGUAAGUAACUGUGCACAUCUUGACGGUACCUAAUCAGAAAGCCACGGCUAACUACGUG
rnacentral:rRNA from 1 species